rnacentral:tRNA from 1 species
GGGUUUAGGCUUUACAUUCAAUGGAGUAGCCAGACCCGGCAGACUUAAGAAAGCACCUGACUUUUAAUCAGGGUGUCGCAGGUUCGAGCCCUGCACGGCCUA